rnacentral:rRNA from 1 species
UACGAAGGGGGCUAGCGUUGCUCGGAAUUACUGGGCGUAAAGCGCACGUAGGCGGCUUUCUAAGUCGGGGGUGAAAUCCUGGAGCUCAACUCCAGAACUGCCUUCGAUACUGGAGAGCUUGAGUCCGGGAGAGGUGAGUGGAACUCCGAGUGUAGAGGUGAAAUUCGUAGAUAUUCGGAAGAACACCAGUGGCGAAGGCGGCUCACUGGCCCGGUACUGACGCUGAUGUGCGAAAGCGUGGGGAGCAAACAGG